rnacentral:rRNA from 1 species
GACGAACGCUGGCGGCGUGCCUAAUACAUGCAAGUAGAACGCACAGUUUAUACCGUAGCUUGCUACACCAUAGACUGUGAGUUGCGAACGGGUGAGUAACGCGUAGGUAACCUGCCUGGUAGCGGGGGAUAACUAUUGGAAACGAUAGCUAAUACCGCAUAAUAUUGAUUAUUGCAUGAUAAUUAAUUGAAAGGUGCAAUUGCACCACUACCAGAUGGACCUGCGUUGUAUUAGCUAGUAGGUGAGGUAACGGCUCACCUAGGCGACGAUACAUAGCCGAACUGAUAGGGUGAUCGGCCACACUGGGACUGAGACACGGCCCAGACUCCUACGGGAGGCAGCAGUAGGGAAUCUUCGGCAAUGGACGAAAGUCUGACCGAGCAACGCCGCGUGAGUGAAGAAGGGUGUCGGAUCGUAAAGCUCGGUUGUAAGAGAAGAACGGGUGUGAGAGUGGAAAGUUCACACUGUGACGGUAUCUGACCAGAAAGGGACGGCUAACUACGUG